rnacentral:lncRNA from 1 species
ACGUGUCAGUGUCCGACACUCGUAUGACACUCGUCCGACACGUGUCGGAUAGCUCAUAUCGGUGUCGGAAAAAAUUCAAUUUUUUCUUUAGUUUGACACUUCUUUGAUUGGUGUCCGACACCUGUAAGACUCGGAUGACACGUGUCGGACAAGUGUCCCAAAAAAUAAUUAUUUUUUCUUUGCUUAUACUCUCUUUAGGCACAUAUUAGACAUAUCAACAAGAGUUAAAGAUGUGUAGAAACAACAAUAUUNN